GGAGCUUGCUCCUCUGACGUUAGCGGCGGACGGGUGAGUAACACGUGGAUAACCUACCUAUAAGACUGGGAUAACUUCGGGAAACCGGAGCUAAUACCGGAUAAUAUAUUGAACCGCAUGGUUCAAUAGUGAAAGACGGUUUUGCUGUCACUUAUAGAUGGAUCCGCGCCGCAUUAGCUAGUUGGUAAGGUAACGGCUUACCAAGGCAACGAUGCGUAGCCGACCUGAGAGGGUGAUCGGCCACACUGGAACUGAGACACGGUCCAGACUCCUACGGGAGGCAGCAGUAGGGAAUCUUCCGCAAUGGGCGAAAGCCUGACGGAGCAACGCCGCGUGAGUGAUGAAGGUCUUCGGAUCGUAAAACUCUGUUAUUAGGGAAGAACAAAUGUGUA
rnacentral:rRNA from 1 species